CAUUAAAAAUAAAAAAGGACACCCAAUUAUCCACCACCGAGCUCUACAAUUAUAGCUUCGUUUGACUAUUUUCGCCAUAUUUUUUCCCCUUUCCACAUGGUGGGUGCGUCUCUGCGCGCAUGGAUGCACGCGCGCGCUGGGAGAUGAGGGUGCCACCGUGCUUCCAGCGACAAAUUAUGAUUUUUAUUAUUAUUACUAUUAUCAUUCUUUUUUCUAAGCGUCAAAUUUUGCACAUUAUUAACUCUUGUUUGCAAACCCGGUCCGAGUGGUUUCCUUGUGGAAAUCAUGAUCACUAUAUAUUGGACAAUAUGCGGGUGGGCUUGCGCGUGCGUGCGUGCAGCCCACCGUGCAAACAAGGCUCGCGCUCGCUCUCAAACGCCGCACGCUCGAAAUUCCUCCAAGGAACCUCUGCGAGCUUUUCUUUUUUCAUCACGCGCGAGCUAAAAAUAGAAACGGGGUUGGAUCGUGAUCCAGAAAUAGAUAGGGGGCAUCACUCCUAUAAAAGGCAUACCAUUCAAGAGUACAGUGAGAGAAGAGAAAAGCCGGAGCAGAUUUAAUGGACAAAUAGGGUGUUUAGUCCAUUUUUUAAAACCUUCUUUCGAUGCUUUUAUCAGAAUCUCUGCAGCUACAACGGCUCCCCACUUAACUCACAAAUACAGCACACAACACCUGAAGACAGCAGCAGUGACCAAAUAACAUCUAGAUCAGCAGGACUACAGUGAGUGGGAAAUCCUGGAAAAGAUGUGAACAAAUCCUGGAAAAGAUGUGAACAAAAAUUUGCAUCAUAUUCUGGUUUUACUUUUGUGAGAUGGUCAAGAAUGUCUGCCUUCUCAUCUUUAAACUGCACUUCAAUUGAGUCUAUUAAGACAUCAAGAGUUUUUUUUUUUUUCUAUCUAGCUAUUAAUGAUGUAAAUACUAAAAAUUCCACUAGAAAGCAAAUUAAUUUGUGUCUUCUUAUUUUUGCAAGCUGUGAUUAGGUGUUCUAUUCAUGCGCUGCAAAUGAUUUAACUUUUUGUGUUCUUGUUAUUGCUUUUUUACCUUCCACACUUUACCACAUCUUUUAUUAAACUCUCCAUACAUAAUAUUUUUUGUGUUUCAUAGCACUGAACAAUUUAUACAACAUCUGAAUGUUUUGUUUAUUCCUCUAACAAAUUUCACACAUGAUUUUUUUUCCCAAUAUGCCGCUGACGUAAGUGACUGAACUGUUCAUUAAUCUUAAAGCUCCUUUAAAUAACUAUGAGGCUGAUAUUUUACCCAUGUCGGGGAGCAUGGGCAGUAAACUCCCCUCACACUUUUUCCUAGAAAUAGUCAAAUUUAUCCAAUUCCUCACAAACUAAGGAGCAUCAUGUUUGUGAUUCAUCCCUUUCUUUGCAAUUUUCCAUCUCAUGCAGAUCAGCGUCUGCACAUCGGUCACAGUCCCUUGAAAAAGCAGGGGAAUUAAAGUAUAUUUUUAUCAUGUGACAAUUUAAGUGGAUUUAAAACUUGGAAUAAACAAUGUUUAGAAGCUGAAAAUGUUUUUUAUUCUUCGUGUUUUUUUUUUGUUUUUUUUGUUUUUUUUUUGCAGGGUUACAAUGUAUUUUUUUUAUGCUCCUUUUUCAUGAGAAAAUCCACCAGAACGUGUUUUAACUCUUCAUAAAUAAAAACAAGAACUAUGAAUCAACAUUAACUGUUAUGACUGUGACGAUCUUUGACAUUAUACAGUCUUUUUCCUUCUCUUUCAUUAUUUAAUUCUUUAUUUCUGUACACAGUAUGAGCUUGGAUUUUAAUUAGAAGCAGUUUAACGGUACUAGGAGUGUAUAUGUAUCUGGAUGGGAGACAUUCUGAUCAUCAUAGUUAUUUACAAGCAGCAGUCUAAAUUGAUUGAACCCAUGCAUGCAUGUGUCCAAUUGGUCUCUCUAAACUGCCCUCAGGAGUGAGUGUGUGUCGUGCAUGUCUAUGACAGACUGACGAUCUGACCAGGGUGUGCCCCACCUCUCGCCCAUUGACCGCUAGAGAUAGGUCACCCCUACCCCAGCAACCCUGCAAGGAUAAGCAGGGGUAUACAAUGGAUGGAUGGAUGAAUUGGUAGAUGGAUGGAUGGAUGUGUUCUAGGUGGAAAGACAUUCUGCUGCACAGUUAAUGUGAAUACUGUGUUAAGCUCCCACAAAGACGUGACAUGGUACUAAUGUCACCAAAGACCAGCAUGUAUCAAACACUGAAUUGAAAAAA